rnacentral:lncRNA from 1 species
AUCAACAUCUAGAAGUAAUAUUAAUGUAAUGGGAGAGAUGAGGGGAGUUAAGCUGCCUAAGAUUGAUUUCCCUUAUUUUAGUGGAAAAGGGCCUAGAGACAGAGCCGGACCUAAGGAGAGGCCCAGGAGGUCUCUGCCUCAGGCCCAUAAUAUAAAGGGGCCCAAAAUACUUGUAACCCUUUUUAUUUUUCUUGGACAACCCGGGCCAAAUUUCAAUAGACAACAGUUGUCUUCUACACUUUUGCAGUCGGCUGCUCCAGUUCUCCAUGACAGUUGCCAGUUUUCCAUGGCUUGGGUUACGUCUACUGCCACUUAAGUCUCAACGGACCACUCCUAAAACCUACCGACGACGGGCAACGACGACGACGCAACGGCAGAGUCACACUCACAGACUCACAGCAUCCUGUCCUGUGGCGUCGACGAUCUUAUGACUUCUAUUAUCAGACUCGUUCGACGUUGUACUUGGUACUAUUUUGUAAGUUAUUUAUCCCCAAAUUCCAACCUGCUGACGACAAUCAUGUGAUGAAUUCGAUUUUGAUAUUGCUGACAUUUUGCUUCUAUAUCUGUAUUACUAUUAAGUAUUAAUAUUAUCUAUCAAUUUGUUAAUUGUUUUCUUGCAAUGUUUGAUAUCCAAAAUGGAAAAAUCCGACCGACCGACCG